GACGAACCGUGCGAACGUUGUUCGGAAUCACUGGGCUUAAAGGGCGCGUAGGCGGGUCAGCCAGUUCGGGGUGAAAUCCUCCGGCUUAACCGGAGAACUGCCUCGAAGACGACUGAUCUGGAGGGAGGUAGGGGUCGCUGGAACUUCCGGUGGAGCGGUGAAAUGCGCAGAUAUUGGGAGGAACACCAGCGGCGAAGGCGGCACUCUGGGCUGGUACUGACGCUGAGGUGCGAAAGCGUGGGGAGCAAACAGG
rnacentral:rRNA from 1 species